AUUGAACGCUGGCGGCAGGCCUAACACAUGCAAGUCGAGCGGAUGAAGGGAGCUUGCUCCUGGAUUCAGCGGCGGACGGGCGAGUAAUGCCUAGGAAUCUGCCUGGCAGUGGGGGAUAACGUCCGGACACGGGCGCUAAUACCGCAUCCGUCCUGAGGGAGAAAGUGGGGGAUCUUCGGACCUCACGCUAUCAGAUGAGCCUAGGUCGGAUUAGCUAGUUGGUGGGGUAAAGGCCUACCAAGGCGACGAUCCGUAACUGGUCUGAGAGGAUGAUCAGUCACACUGGAACUGAGACACGGUCCAGACUCCUACGGGAGGCAGCAGUAGGGAAUCUUGGGCAAUGGGCGAAAGCCUGAUGGAGCCAUGCCGCGUGUGUGAAGAAGGUCUUCGGAUUGUAAAGCACUGUAAGUUGGGAGGAAGAGCAGUAAGUUUAUACGUUGCUGUUUUGACGUUACCAACAGAAUAAGCCCCGGCUAACUUCGUG
rnacentral:rRNA from 1 species